UUUUUUUUUUUAAAUGAAAUUCUCUGAGUCUUGAUGGCGGGAUUGAGUGUGCAGAGCUGAGUCAGUCCUGCCUGGCACCCGGAAUUUCUUGCAUAUGGAGAUGAUUGUCCGUUUGCUUUGGGAAGCUCGGCCAGUCUUUCUUCACAGUUCCUGGCAUUCUGGCCUAGCAGGUCAGGUCACAGACUGAUGUCGGCAUCCCAAAUGGGCACCAAUUCAAGUCCUGGCUGCCCCACUUCUGAUCCAGCUCCUGGCUAAUGUACCUUGGAAGACACUAGCAGGUGGUCCAAGUGCUUAUGCCCUGUUCCCACUGUCGCCCACGUGGGAGACCCUGAAGAAGCUCCUGGCAUCGGCCUGGAAAAUCCCUGGCUGUUGUGGUCAUUUGGGUAGUGAACCAGCAGAUGGAAGAGCUCUCUCUCUCUCUCUCUCUCUCUCUCUCCAUCUCUCUGCUACUCUGCCUUUCAAAUAAAUACAACUUUGCAAAAAUGAAACAGACAUUGGGAACGAGCAUGGCUGCUGGAAGCCCAGAUUGCUGCGCCCCACUCCAGCAGAGCUGGGCGUCAUUGCUAGCUCCUGCUCCUGACUCCAGCUUCCCCACAAUGCACAGCCUGGGAGGCAGCAGGGACGGCUCAGGCAGUUCACUCCCUGACGCCCUGGAUUGCAUCGCCAGCUGCGAGUGUAGCAGGCAGGAUUCAAAAUCAAGACACCAAGGCUUCUUAAAAGGACAGUCUUUUCUUAUAUGGGCAUAAGGCCCAGGUGGAAUUUCUUAGCCCAAAUCCUGAGCCCUGAACAAAGAAGCAUUUUCCCUUCUAUAUGGUUUUAGUCUUUUUGUCUCACUUAUAUAGCUACUUGCAUGCAUUUGAUUGUGUAUUCUUUUUUUUUUUUUUUUUAAGAUUGAUUUUAUUUAUUUGAAAGACAGAGUUACAGAGAGAGGUAGAGAGAGAGAGGUCUUCUAUCCAUUGGUUCACUCCCCAGAUAGCCACAAUGGCUGGAGCUGUGCCAAUCUGAAGCCAGGAGCCAGGAGCUUCUUCUGGGUCUCCCAUGUGGGUGCAGGGGCCCAAGGAGCCCAAGGACUUGGGCCAUCUUCCACCACUAUCCCAGGCCCUAGCAGAUAGCUGGAUCGGAAGAGGAGCAGCCGGGACUAGAACUGGCACCCAUAUGGGAUGCCGGCGCUUCAGGCCAGGGCUUUAACCGCUAUGCCACAGUGCUGGCCUCUUGUUGGGUGUUCUAAUGUGACAUGGUGGGUUGAAACAGUACUGGGCGUGUGAAUGUAGUUACUGAGGAGUUUUUCUUUCUUUCUUUCUUUUUUUUUUUUUCACACAAACUGAGCCUUCUGCGGUCUGGCAAGGGUUAACAUCAUUGCUCUGUACUACACGCAGCUCCUGAAGUGGCUGCAGAGCCGUAGACAGGGACCACAGCAGAUAAAGACCGCAUAGCAUUCGCAGGACAGAUGUCGCCUUCUGCUUCCGACCUGGGAAGGCCUCUGCCACAGCUGCAAUCACGGCAGAGCUGAGCCUGGUUAAGACAGAGGCCUCUGCCACAGCCCCACCUUGAUGCUCAGAACCCUUCGGGUCAGACAGCAGUGUGACAUGCGUAGCUGUUUGUUUUCCCGACCAGGGUCUUCACGUAGUUAGAGACAUAUUUCAUAAACGAGGGCACAAGACAAGGAAAAGUCAGAGAGACCCCUAACAUUAUAACCAUAGCACGUAGGAGAGAUUUGAAUCCACUAAAAACCAUCCUCCAAGCAGUCUAGACCAGGACAUGGGGGAGCUUCCUCAUUUGAUCAUUUUUUUAUGAUCUUGUCCUUUUUAUGUGUAUACAACAGUGAUUUAGAUUAAAAUUUUAAAACCAAUACAAAGAGGCAGAAAAAGGAUGGGUCCAUUUAUUGUAUAGGGCAGCUGAUUCCUCAAGCUUCGACCAGGCGUGAAUCAGCCAGUUUCCGGAGUGCCUGAAGCAGCGUCCCUGGUGAACUUUUUGAGGGAAGAAGCACCAGUCUCUUAUUUGGGGGGCUUGUUCUAUCUGUUGAAGGUCUCCCCCCAACCCGUUAGUGGCUUUGUAAGUCUGGAGCAAACAGAUCCAACAAGCAAGUUAAAUCCAACAGGAUCUGAAACAAAAAGGCUGAAUCAUUGCAGAGUGCCUAGGAGGGGUGCUGUCUAAACCAGGAGGGCGUUUUCUCACUGAGGGAGGCGGGUAGGCCAGAACUUCCUUAGAAGGACAUCCUGUCGGCUCUCAUUACCUAGCCGGCCUGGCAGUAGGGGAGUACAGAACAGGCAGUGAAUUCGAGAGGAAGGGCCCAGUCCUGCCAUGUGUGACCCUAGGCCUGCCCCUGGGAGACUGGGCGAGGUAAAGGACUUUUCCAGCAUGGAGCCAGCAGGGUCUACGGUUUGUGUUGUGUGAGUGUGUGUGUGUUUUUUUUUUAAACAGGCAGAGUGGACAGUGAGAGAGAGAGAGAGAGAGAGAGAGACAGAGAGAAAGGUCUUCCUGUGCCGUUGGUUCACCCCCCAAUGGCCGCCGCGGCCCGCGCACUGCGCUGAUCCGAAGGCAGGUGCCAGGUGCUUCUCCUGGUCUCCCAUGGGGUGCAGGGCCCAAGCACUUGGGCCAUCCUCCACUGCACUCCCAGGCCACAGCAGCGAGCUGGCCUGGAAGAGGGGCAACCGGGACAGAAUCCGGUGCCCUGACCAGGACUAGAACCCCGUGUGCCAGCGCUGCAGGCAGAGGAUUAGACUAUUGAGCCACGGUGCCGGCGGGUCUGUGGUUCUAAGCAGGAAGCCCUUUGGGCCCAGGGCAGUUCCACCUACCCAGCUCCUGCCAGGAUUUUGGAGAGGCUGGCUUUGGUCAGGACGGCUAUUGCCCCAUCUCUCGGCUUUCCAUAUGGACACCUGACGCCGUGCGGGGUGGGCUGGCCUCGCUGGGUCUUUGACGGCAGGACACUGGGGACAGUGGCCAUUGGUUGGCUGUACAUUGCUCCUGCUGCCUAACUCGUUGUUUCUUUCUUGGUCUCUGCUGAAGUAGAGCACUGAGACAGCCUCUAGGAUAUCAGUCAGGGCUGUUCAGUUCCAUCCUCAGCCUGUGGUGGCCAAGCUACGAGGUCACGGGCGUGUUUAGACAGCUUUUCCUGUGAGACAGAACCACACCCGGGAGGAAAGCUAUGUCUUUCAGAUAAGACUGAAACAUGAUGAUCGGUUUACCUAACCUGCCUAUAAAUUUGGUGUUAGUAAUUUGUCAAAGGAUAACUUUAAACUGGACUUCAUAGAGAGCAGUGAGCACUGUAUUUUACCUUUUUUUUAUAUUAUUUUAAAUCACUGUUGUACUUGUAUGAUUGUAAAUACCUAACCCAAGCGCAGGGUGCUUGGCCAGCAAACCCAAACACAAACAUGUCAAUGACUUGAGAAAACAUUUUUAGUUUUUCUCUACCAACAAAUUUAGAACAGUCUGCUUAUCAGAGAUGUAUUGAAGUCACAUGUACCAAAAAGGUACUUUGUGUUAAUUUAGCAGCCUUAUAUGACUGCUUUUUUUUUAAUCUACAAGCCAGUCAAAACAGUUUUUAAUAAUUUUUUACAUAGACAUGCAACCUGCAUACGUAUAACGUAUGUAUAACAUAUAUUACAAGACUAAACUAUAAAAGUGUUAGUAACCAUUUUUUAACUUUUAAAAAUUAAGGCCAGCGCCACGGCUCACUAGGCUAAUCCUCCGCCUAGCGGCGCCGGCACACCGGGUUCUAGUCCUGGUUGGGGCGCCGGAUUCUGUCCUGGUUGCCCCUCUUCCAGGUCAGCUCUCUGCUAUGGCCCGGGAGUGCAGUGGAGGAUGGCCCAGGUGCUUGGGCCCUGCACCCCAUGGGAGACCAGGAGAAGCACCUGGCUCCUGGCUCCUGCCAUCGGAUCAGCGCAGUGUGCUGGAGGGUGAACCAACGGCAAAGGAAGACCUUUCUCUGUCUCUCUCUCUCACUGUCCACUCUACAUGUCAAAAAAAUAAAAAAAAAAUUACCAUUUAUUGAUUAGAAUUACCUUUUGUUUUAGUAACCUAGAUUAACCACACCCUUUCAGUUGGAAUCUGUAGUUUAUUAUUAAAUUUUAGUUUGUAUCUAUUUACAGAGCUGUCCCAAAUUACCAAAAACAAUAGGAGUCAUGGAAAAAGGGGUGUUUUUUUUUGGGGGGGGGACCUAGAAGAGGAAAUAUUUAAAUACAGACCCAACAAUAUUUUAAUUUUUAUGAAUAGCCUGGUUUUCUUUUAGAGGGUUGAAACCUCUUAUUAAGAGCAUAUUGGUGGCCGGCGCCGCAGCUCACUUGGCUAAUCCUCCACCUGUGGCGCCGGCACCCCGGGUUCUAGUCCCGGUUGGGGCGCCGGAUUCUGUUGCAGUUGCUCCUCUUCCAGUCCGGCUCUCUGUCGUGGCCCAAGUGCUUGGGCCCUGCACCCGCAUGGGAGACCAGGAGGAAGCACCUGGCUCCUGGCUUUGGAUCGGUGCAGUGCUCUGGUGGUAGCGGCCAUUUGGGGGGGUGAACCAACGGAAAAGGAAGACCUUUCUCUCUCUCUCUCUCUCACUGUCGAACUCUGCCUGUCGGGAAAAAAAAAAAAAAAAAGAGAGAGAGAGAGAGAAUAUUGGGGCUGACACUGUGGUGUAACAGGUAAAGCUGCCACCUGUAGUGCCAGCAUCCCAUAUGGACACCAGUUCGAGACCCAGCUGCUCUGCUUCUCAUCCAGCUCUCUGCUAUUGUCACUGGAGAAAAAGCUGAGGGUCCUUGUCUUUGUGCAAGUAAGAAUUCAGCCGUGAGACAGGGAGCAGUGGAAAGCAAAGCAAAGUAGCAAAGUUUAUUAGAGUAAGGAGAGAGAGUGCCUAGUUCACAUUUAGGCUGGGGUUUUUUAAGGGAUGGGUCUCGCCUUCUUGCCUUUUCUCUUCCCAUCUCCUUCUUCUCCUCCAGAACAAAGGACUUGUUCGGUGUAAAUACGAAAAUUUCCUUUCUGAGUUUCCCUCUGUAGUUGUCAGAGGAAGCCUUUGUGACUCUGCCUUUCAAAUAAUAAAUAAGUAAACUUUUUUUUUUUGACAGCUAGAGUUAGUGAGAGAGAGAGAGAGAGAGAGAGAGAGAAAGGUCUUCCUUCCAUUGGUUCACCCUCCAAAUGGCCGCUACGGCUGGAGAUACACCGAUUCGACGCCAGGAGCCAAGUGCUUUCUCCAGGUCUCCCACGUGAGUGCAGGCGCCCAAGCACUUGUGCCAUCCUCCACUGCCGUCCUGGGCCACAGCAGAGAGCUGUACCAGAAGAGGAGCAACCAAGACUAGAACCCAGUGCCCAUAUGGGAUACCGGUGCCGCAGGCAGAGGAUUAACCAAGUGAACCAUGGUGCUAGCCCCUAAGUAAACCUUUUUUUAAAAAGGAAUAUUAUUGACAAGAGGCACUUGUUUACAUAGUAUUUUAGAAGGUACCUGUAGGACUUCAUAAAACAUUUAUCUCUUUUAGGCCUUUAGGACUCUUUACUAAGAUAACCUUUGUGACUGAUAACAACGCAACAAGAUCAUUAGACUUGUAACUUUAGACAUUUGUAUCAGUACAUUUUAUUUAUCUAUUUGUUAAAGAUUUACUCAUUUGAAAGGCAGAGUUAGAGAGAGAGAAGUCUUCCAUCCGGGUCUCCCACAUGGGUGCAGGGGCCGAAGCACCUGGGCCAUCUUCCACUGCUUUCCCAGGCCACAGCAGAGAGCUGGAUGGGAAGUGGAGCAGCCGGGACUUGAACCGGCGCCCAUGUGGGAUGCUUUGCACUGCAGGCGGUGGCUUCAUCCGCUACACCACAGCACCAACCCCUACGCUGGCAUUUUUAUGUGUGAGAUAGAUACGUAUGUCUCUUUAGAUUUUAGAUUGAAUCUGAGCCUAGUGUUUCCUCUAACAAGCGCUUUGGGAUGACACCUCAUCAACAGUCAGGUACCUGGGACUGUCUAAAAGAAACUUGUGUUCAGGCAACUGCAAGACAGGUCCCAGGGUGACAGGGCCGAGCAGUAGCUACACAGGUGGGCGAGGAGCCCACUGGAGAUUGCUAGCUUACAUUCUAGGAGACUUUUAAGUGUCACUGCCCCAGGCUGAGAGACAGAGUCUCUCUCAGCAAAGGGGUGGAGUUAACACACCACAAACCAAAGAGAGGAAGAAAAGUUUAAACUGCCUCUCUCUCCCUCUCUCUCUCUCUUUUCAAAGAAACUAUAGCCAGAGGGGAGGGAAGUGGCGUUUAGCCCCCUAGGCCCUUAUACAAGUACAACAGAAGUUUGGUUUUAUAACCUGAUGAUGGGUUUUAGGUUAUGAAAAAAACGAUGUCAAUUUUAUGCCGUGUUUAUCAUUUGACAGUUUUAUGGAUCCAAUUACAAGUCUCAAGGCCAGAGGCUCAGGUAAGUAAGAUACAGCCUUUUGCUAUUCUUGAGGUCAUUUUACUUAAUUACCACUCAGGAAACUCUUUGUCCCGAGGAAAGGGAGUAGGGAAGGAGAAACAACUGGACUCCAGUCCCUGAUAAGCCCAGUGUGGGCACAGGCUGUGUGCUCACUUCUCUGCCUUUGAGCUGACUACCUGGCCUGCCAGCUGUAUUUUCUCCCAUUAAACCAUGUAACCUUGUUUACCAUAGUUCUCUCUCUCACUCUCUCUCUCUCAAGAUUUAUUUAUGUGAAAGAAAGAGUUACGGAGGCAGAAGCAGAGGUCUUCCAUCGGCUGGUUCACUCCCCAAAUGACUGCAACAGCUGGAGCUGAUCCGAAGCCAGGAGCCAGGAGUUUCAUCCAGUUCUCCCACACGUGUGCAGGGGCACAAGGGCUUGGGCCAUCUUCCACUGCUUUCCCAGGCCAUCAGCAGGGAGCUGGAUCAGAAGAGGAGCAACCAGAACACCAAACGGCGCCCACAUGGGAUUCCGGUCCUGCAGGUGGCAGCUUUACCCGCUACACCACCAUGCCAGCCCCCAUAGUUCUCUGUCUUACAUCAGAACUCUUUUUUGCAUAGAGACAAGAACCUAGUUUUGCCAGAUGUAUUUUUCUCAUUUAUUGCUGUUUUCUGUCUUACAGCAAGACUCUUUUUUGCAUGGAGACAAGAACCUACUCCAGCAUGUCCACUAACGGUACCAUGGCACCAAGGCUCUUUGAGCACGGACUUCUAGCUCUGCAAGACCAACCCCCAGUCCCGUGCAGGAGGCCAUCAAUGAAGGGAGCCUUUGGGGGCUGCCGCUGUGGCGUAGUGGGUAAAGCUGGUGCCUGAAGUGCUGGCAUCCCAUACGGGUGCUGGUUCGAGUCCCAGCUGCUGCACUUCUGAUCCAGCUUCCUGCUACUGGGCCUGGGAAAGCCUCAGAAGAUGGUCCAAGUGCUUGGGCCCCUGUACCCAUGUGGGAGACCUGGAAGAAGCUCCUGGCUCCUGGCUCAGCCUGGGCCAUUGUGGCCAUCUGGAAAUUGAACAAGUGGAUGCAAGAUUCUCUCUCUCUCUCAUAUUCUCUCACUGUAAUUCUGACUUUCAAAUCAAUCAAUCAGUCAUAAAAAAGUCAAAAGAGAACAAGCAGUGAUGAUGACGUGGAGAAAAGGGAGCUGCUCACGCUGUUGGCAGGAGUACAAGGUAGCCCAGCUCUGUGUAAGGAUGGAAGUCACUCAACAGUGUGAAAACACAGCUAUCACAUAACGUUGCAGGGAUGCAGCCGGAGGAUCCGACAUGGCUUGUGGGAGGCACAGCCGUGCUCCCAUGUUACUGCAGCAUAGGUCACCGUACCCAGGAAAUGGAUACCAGCUGGGGGACUGAGGACAGCACGGCACAGCCACAUGUGGAAUCCCAUCCCGCCACAAGGAAGGACGGCACGCAGGCAUUUCCAACCAUGGAGGGCUGCACACCUCGCGCCCGGGUGGAAUCUGAACAAGGGGCUCCGAGGCACACAGGAGCUGGCAGGGCCGACGGGUGCCGGGCCAUGGUUAGCUUGGAGUCUGGGGUCUUCUACUGCCCCAGAGAUGACAAGAGGGCUGCAUACAUCCAUUUUCACCAGAAACCAUGGUAAAAGGAGCUCACUCUGUCCACCGUGAAUUUUAAUAGCCUGAUCUAUUCACAUAGCAAACCAUCAGGAUACUGCAAAGAUAUAUAAAAACAUAGCCCAGCAUAUCUAUACAAUGGAAUGUCAUCUGGAUUCAAAAGGACAGAAAUGGACUGGCGUUGUGGUACUGGUCACUCUUGAAAAGCUGGCAUCCCGAACCUGAGCCACUUUGAGUCCUGGCAGCUCCACAUCUGAUCCAGCUACCUGCUAAUGCACCUGCGAAAGAGCUUAACAGGGCCCAAGUACUGGAGCCCCUGCCACCCACAAGGGAGACAGGAUGGAGUUCCAGGCUGCUGGCUUAGGUCAGGUCCAACAGGGCCACUGAAGCCAUAUCAUCCCCCAAGCUGCCAUAGAAAUAAAUGAAAUAAUUCCUUUUGUAAUGACAGAUACAGACUGCUCCUAGGACACAUCCAUGAGGCUACCUGAGGCUACAGGAAAUGCGCCCAAGCCCCCUGGAGUGUGGGUCCCCGUGCACGACUGCCCUCUAGUGGUCAGGUUCACAGACCAGGGUGCCCACGAGGCUGCUGGGCGCGGGGAGGUGGAGAGCUGAGUUACAGUGUGACAGUGAGAGGUCAGGUUUGCUGCUGAAGAGAGUUCUGGGAUGACAGCUGCACACGAGCAGUGUGCCCACCCAGCACGCACGGCACAGCUGCAAACGGCUGAGAGCGCCCAGCACCGCACCAACGAGGACAGAGAUGUGCCAAGACACACACCACCUUGCUGGAUGUGCAGAGUGGGGCGGUGCAGCAGGUGGAGGAGUUCAGCCCCACGUCCCACACUGAGACACUGACUCCGCACGGGACGCUGGGAAGCACCCCUGCAGCCUUGGACUGCCCUCCCUGACCACAGGGCCUUCUCGUGCCUGCGACCUGGACUGCACCACAGUCGAGGCUGACGAUGUGACCAAUGGUGAUUGCAGGCCUGUGUCACUGAGCUCAGCCUUGUGACCAAUCCCCAGCACAGCCCUGGAAACAGCCCAGGGAACUGCCUGGCCCCCUGCCUCUCUGUGCCUGUCACACAGCGGUGCUGGGAGCACCAAGUCCUGUCAGGAUGAGUCCUCCAGGAAGGAUCGGUACAAGCUCAUGUCUGCCCUGGAUGGAUGUGGCCCCAGGAGCCCCUCCCCAGAAUUCCGAACACGUCCCUUGGCUGGAAUAAACCAUCACAGUGAGGACGACAGCAUUCCUAGUUCUGGGAGGGCUUCUAGCAAAUCACAGAGCCUGAGGGAGGUAUGGGGACCCCACACUCUCUCCAGCCAGAGCUGAGGCUGAUGCCACACAGACGCCCAUGCACACACCUGCUGCUCCCCACACUCAGAGCCAAGAUUGCUGCACGACCUUGGUCACCAACACACAUCCAGAGUGCGGCCAAUGGGGGACAUGGCAAGAUGUCCUCUAUGAGUAUCGGGGCCCCAGGUCUGAGAUGAAUCCAGAAGACAGGGCCAGGGCCAGGAGCCGGGCACCCCAUGCACCUGCGGAGAAAGGCAUGAAGGCCUCUUGCUUCACGAAGCGGCCCUGGGCGUCCAGGAAGUGUCCCGGGUGGAAGCGGAAGGGCUUCUCCCAGACGGCCUCGUCCUUCAGCACCGAUGACAGCCCGAGUUCUAGACUGUUGUGCGGCACCCAGGUACCCCCAGGACACGCGGGGCCUCACCGUCCCUGCCCUCGCCCUUCCAUUCAUCUUCUCACCUUCUCCACCUCGGCCAGUGGCCGCUCCAGGAAGGCCCUGCCCCACCCCCAUGGAGGCAAAUCCUCACCCUCAGUGUCUGAGCCCGCAUCGAGGGCAGGAAGACCUUUUUCUUCUCGAGCAAGGUCUUGGUCAGGUCCAGCAGCCUGACGAAGUGCGGGUCAUCGUACUCGAAGCGGCGACCAAAGCCACAUUGGGUGCCAGAUGUUGCUGUGGAUUCGUUCUGAGAGGAGGAGCAUGGUGGGGGCAAGAGGAGCAGAGUCACGACACAGACACCAGGAGUUGGGUGAAAGUGGGCCAGAGGUGAGCAUCUCAAAGACUCGUUUAUUUCAGUUGGUGCAGCUGCUUAUAUAGCCAAGGCAGCCAAUCCGGUCAAGGGGCAGUUUAUGCCCCAUCCAAUCUCAGCCUGUUGCCAGGCAGGCUUCUUUGCCAGGUAGGUUUUGCUGCCAUUUCCUGAGUAGUGACACUUGCUCGUCAGCACCAUCUUGGCAUAACAUUCUCAUUUCACCACAGUGGGGGUGUGGGACCUGGCGAGAGCAGGCCUCUACUCUAUGCAGAAUACAGGCUUGCUCUGCCCUCAUCUCUCAUAUGGCAUCCAUACCUGCCUGUAGGGCCAGGUCCCAGCAAUCGGAGGUCUAGGGUGGCCAGCAGAAGGGGUUGAGCUGCCCCACAUACCCAGCGCCUCUCGCUUGACUGCAGACACACACAGCUCUCCCACGCACAGCCCGGCUCACACGGCCCUCACACAGCCGCUCACACAGCCAUGCACAGUCAGGCCCGGGCUCCCUGUCCUCGGUGAUGCCUCUGGGGCCGCUCCACCAGACCUCUCCUGUGGGAGCUGCUCCCUGGGAACCCGAAUCCCUGGGCCUGCAGCCAGCCAUGGCCACUGAGCCUCGGCGUCACAGAAUGGGCAGGUUGCCCUGACGGGGCACUUGGUGGCCCGAGGUCCUUCCUUCCUGUGGCCACCUCCGGCCUGCUGUCCCCCGGGAUGUUUCCUCCACCCACCAGGGUUUGGAUGUGGUUUGUCCCCAACGGGCAGGGGGUUGGCGUGGUCCCUGAUGGCAGUGUGGGGAGGCAGGGAGACCCUCUCUGGUGGGACCCUGCGGGAGGUCCUUAGGUCAGUUGGGUUGCUCUCAUGUUAUACUUGGAACGUCCGAUUCCCACCAGUUGAGACCACCAGGAGCAGGGGCUGAUGCAAACGCAAGAGUUUUACUUCAAAAUCGAGUUUGGUCCGACGUCCACACCAGGCGCAGCUGGGCUGGAUUGGCGGCCCUGAAGUAAGAUUGUUGGGGUUUUUAUAGAGUUUAACAAACAAGUUCAGCUAUACAGCAUCUGAUAGGCUCAUAUUUUAAAUUUAUAGUUGUUGUUCUAUGAUUGACUAAAGUAUAGGGUCCGAGCUGCUACGGUGUCCAUGCCAAACUGCAAGGGUUUGGGGAUGUGUCACCCUAACUGCCUGAUAGGACACCUGGAACUUUAGGUGUUUCCCUCCUAUAUGCUGAUUGGCUGUUGCUAGGGGACUUUAUUGCAAGGGGAGCUUAUUUUUCUUCUUUUAGGAGUUUUUGGCUUAGAGUUCAGGGCCUGGUCAGACCCGAGUUACAAGAUGGAGGCCUAGUCUACAAUAGCUGCACCUUGACCCAGGCUGAGGUCUCUCAUUCCCCCCUUCUACUAUUGGGGCCAAUCGUGGUCCCCUUUUACCCACUUUAAUGGCCUGCUCGUCUAGGCGCUAGUAUGAGAUCAGGGUCUAGAACAAAGGACAGAAAGGUGCUGCCUAAGCCAAAUAGAAACUGACAGAAGGGGCCUGAUAAUGAUCUGGUGGGCUUUAAGGCCUUGUUAGCUAUGAGGCCCAGACCUAUUUAUCCUUUUACAUGGGGUACAUUUUAAGAGAGGUGUGAACUCCUUGGGAAGGCCCCCUGAUGAUUUCCAUUACCCAGCUGGUCUGGGAGGAGAGCUGGCCAGGUAAAGGCAGGUGGCAUUUUUUUAAACAGGAAAUUUACAGUCCUGUCUGCAGUGCUGCUGACCCCACUUAGCCGUCCCCUCUGCAGCGGUGGUUACUUUGGAGGCUGGGCUGAGUAAAGAGUUUUUUGGCUUAGAGCCAACAGGAUCUGUGGCUCUGACCUGGGCGUCCUUGGACUCCAGGGCAGGUCCAUUUCCAGUGAUCCAACUCUUGGCUGGCAGAGCUGCCAGGGCUCUUUAUAAGCUGAUUUCUGCUGAAGCCCUGAUUUUCCACAUCGAAAACCAAUGCAGUGGACUGUCCUGUUGGGUCUCCUUGAUGGCAGAUCACUGUACAGACCAGCCAUCAAAGGGCCUGCCCCUGUCUUUACAUUGCUUCUGAUGCCUAGCUUUUUUUUUCCUCCUGGUUUUUGUUAAAGCAGACCAGAGGAUGUAAGUCAAGGGGAUGUUUAAGUCCCAUCUCUAAUCUUUGUGGCCUAAACUAGAAGUCUAUAGUCACAGGCAUGUUCUGAUAGUCUUUAUUUUGGGGCAGACAAUGCCCGUGAGGAAAGCUAUGUCCUCACUUUAAACUUUAUUGUUGCUUGUUUGUCUGAAAUGGAGGUUUUGCCUAUUUACUGUGCCCAUGGCGAAGUAAGCCUAGCUGUGAAAAUAUAAUUUAAACUCUCCUUUUGGCUAUACCAUUAUUACAAAAAAGUUAGUCAUUUUUAUAAGAUUUUAAAAAAUUAAACUGUACAUCUACAGAGUUUUUCAGAAUAAAAUUAGUUUCCUGCUUCGAGGAGAAUAGAGAAAUGAGGGAGCAAGUCCCGGAUUGUUUGCUGCACACACUUGAUCUUAGCCAAAAGGCCGAGGAGCCAUAGAUUGUUUGCUGAUAAUAGCAAUAUCAAAUGAAAACCUAGUAAGUAAUUUUAACCAUUAGAUAACAACUUAGGAAAACAUUUACUAGAAGGCCUCAUGCCUUCUAUAAAUUUUAAGAAUGCAUGCAUUUAGAAACAUUUCUUAAAUAUUUAACAUGGUGUAGCUUGUUUAACCAGAAAACUCAAGCACAAACAUAUAAAAACAAUUUUAGUUUCUUUUUUCUUUUUUGCUGAAAUUUAUUUUUUUAUUUUUUAUUUUUAUUUUAAUUUUAGUUUCUUUUUACCAACAGAUUUAAAACAUCUA